rfam:Cajanus cajan chromosome 5, whole genome shotgun sequence.
AAGAGAUAUGAGGAUACUUAUCCAUCAAUUCUGCAAUAGAAUGAUGAUUACAAACAUGCACUACCAUCUGAUCUCUU